CUCGUAGGCGGUGUGUCGCGUCGGUCGUGAAAACUUGGGGCUUAACUCUGAGCUUGCGGUCGAUACGGGCAUCACUGGAGUUCGGCAGGGGAGACUGGAAUUCCUGGUGUAGCGGUGAAAUGCGCAGAUAUCAGGAGGAACACCGGUGGCGAAGGCGGGUCUCUGGGCCGAUACUGACGCUGAGGAGCGAAGGCGUGGGGAGCGAACA
rnacentral:rRNA from 1 species